GCCUUCGUGGUGUAGUGGUCUGCAUGCUCAACGCAUAACCGAGAGGUCCGUGGUUCGAUUCCCGGUGAAGACG
rfam:Stegodyphus mimosarum contig114292, whole genome shotgun sequence.